UGUUAACUUGCUUGGUUAUCUCAACAUCAAGUUUACAAAACAGAAGCAACAGGGAAGGUGAUGAAGAACAUCUACAGAUACAGGCGUGAGAGCAGACAACCUGAAAAUUCAUAAAAGGAGAUGGUAUUAGAGCCUGAUCAAGGACACAAGCUCCCAGCUUAUGAGUUUUCAGAGUCAGCUCCAUUUGGUGUGGAGAUCUUUGUUGCCACAAAGGGUGAGCUGAUGGGAGAGGACAGGAUAUCCCAAGCCCCUCAGCAAUGGGCCGUGCCCCUUCGGAGAGGAGAUGAAAGCUACACUUCACCCUGGUCACCAGAGCCUCUAUCGUUGGAUGACGCAAUACAGCCUCCGUGUUCUGCACCAGAUACAUCUGGGGCUCCGCUCCAUGAUGACUGUUCCAAGGACGCUAUACAACAGAAAAAAGGCAUUUCAGUAUUCCCAUCACUUACAGUGUCCAGCCAACGAGACCCUAACAGUGGUUGGAGAGUAGACCUGAAAUAUGAGAUACAAAUGGACCUAUUCUCAAGCCAUUCUGAACCCAAUUUUUAAAAAAUUAAAAUAGUUUUGGUUAGUUAAGAUGAUUCAAAGGACUGUGCUACCUGACAUU
rnacentral:lncRNA from 1 species